AGAGUUUGAUCAUGGCUCAGGAUGAACGCUGGCGGCGUGCCUAACACAUGCAAGUCGAGCGAUCUUCUUCGGAAGAGAGCGGCGGACGGGUGAGUAACGCGUGGGUAACCUGCCUCAUACACAUGGAUAACAUACCGAAAGGUAUGCUAAUACAAGAUGAUAUAAGAGAUUCGCAUGGAUUUCUUAUCAAAGCUCCGGCGGUAUGAGAUGGACCCGCGUCUGAUUAGCUAGUUGGUAAGGUAACGGCUUACCAAGGCGACGAUCAGUAGCCGACCUGAGAGGGUGAUCGGCCACAUUGGAACUGAGACACGGUCCAAACUCCUACGGGAGGCAGCAGUGGGGAAUAUUGCACAAUGGGCGAAAGCCUGAUGCAGCAACGCCGCGUGAGCGAUGAAGGCCUUCGGGUCGUAAAGCUCUGUCCUCAAGGAAGAUAAUGACGGUACUUGAGGAGGAAGCCCCGGCUAACUACGUGCCAGCAGCCGCGGUAAUACGUAGGGGGCUAGCGUUAUCCGGAUUUACUGGGCGUAAAGGGUGCGUAGGUGGUUUCUUAAGUCAGGAGUGAAAGGCUACGGCUCAACCGUAGUAAGCUCUUGAAACUGGGAAACUUGAGUGCAGGAGAGGAAAGUGGAAUUCCUAGUGUAGCGGUGAAAUGCGUAGAUAUUAGGAGGAACACCAGUAGCGAAGGCGGCUUUCUGGACUGUAACUGACACUGAGGCACGAAAGCGUGGGGAGCAAACAGGAUUAGAUACCCUGGUAGUCCACGCCGUAAACGAUGAGUACUUAGGUGUCGGGGGUUACCCCCCUCGGUGCCGCAGCUAACGCAUUAAGUACUCCGCCUGGGGAGU
rnacentral:rRNA from 1 species